rnacentral:lncRNA from 1 species
UUCGUAGACAUUUUUCCUCCUGUCAACUCUCAUUCCCCUCUUCCGCCGUGACAGUGUCCUUUGUCCGAUGUGUCUCUCUCACUCCUUUUCUUCUCUGUGAUCGUGGGGAGAGCGUAAAAUCCUCCAGAUUCCUAAUCGGAAUCCAGUUCUUCACCGUUCUCCGUCCGAAUCUGCUCACGUCGUCGAAUCUCUUCUAGCGAUAGCUCAGAUAUGAAAUUACCCAACUUUGCUGGAUCAUCUGUGAAAUGGUUUUUCUCGAUCGUAACGUUAUCUUCAUCGUUGUCGCUCGUAAGUUAGAACUAGAUUUUGACCCGCGCUUUCAAAGCGCGGGUUUAUUUUUGUUUUUUUUUUUCAAUUGACAAAUAUUUAGUAAAUGUCACAUUUUCAUAUAUUUGUGUUUUAUUUUAUAAAAGAUUUAAAAAAAUUAUCUUUAUUUAUCGUAUUUCAUUUUAAAUGAUUAUUUAUGUUAAAAAAAUUAAACUUUAUUUUUUUAAUGAAUUAAGUUGGUAUAACUCUGAUAAAUUAAUUUUAUUAUGGGGUUAAUAUUUUAAUUAAAAAAUUAUAUACUUUUAAUAAAGAUUUAUACUUUUCAAUAAAAAAAUUCAAUUAUUUUUAUGAAUGCUUAAAUUAUAUUAAGAAAAUAAAAAAAUAAUAAUUAAGAAUAGUUAAAAAAAAUUAUUUGAACUUGGACUCAAUGGCCCAAAGGAAGAAAAAAAAGUGAGAAUUGAAUCUGAUUUUUUAAUAGGCCCAAAUGGCCCAAGAGAGAUUUGAUUUGGGCUGGAUCCAAAAAUAAUGACCCAAUAUAGAUUUGUUAUUAAUAUUACUUAAUUGCCAUUAAUGAAACAUGCAAUGUUAGUGAAAGAAACAUGCCU